GCACAAGCGGUGGAGCAUGUGGUUAAUUCGACGCAACGCGAAGAACUUACCAGGGCUUGACAUCCCCUGACCGCGUAUGAAAGUACGUUUUCACCCUCGGGUGACAGGGAGACAGGUGGUGCAUGGUUGUCGUCAGCUCGUGUCGUGAGAUGUUGGGUUAAGUCCCGCAACGAGCGCAACCCCUACGUUUAGUUGCUAACGCGUGAAGGCGAGCACUCUAGACGAACUGCCGUUGACAAAACGGAGGAAGGUGGGAUGACGUCAAAUCAUCAUGCCCCUUAUGUUCUGGGCUACACACGUGCUACAAUGGCCGGUACAGACGGACGCAAAGCCGCGAGGUGGAGCAAAUCCUAAAAAGCCGGUCUCAGUUCGGAUUGCAGGCUGCAAUUCGCCUGCAUGAAGUCGGAAUCGCUAGUAAUCGCAGGUCAGCAUACUGCGGUGAAUACGUUCCCGGGCCUU
rnacentral:rRNA from 1 species